rnacentral:rRNA from 1 species
CUCUUGAGAGCGGCGGACGGGUGAGUAAUACCUGGGAAUCUGCCUGAUAGUGGGGGAUAACGUUCGGAAACGGACGCUAAUACCGCAUACGUCCUACGGGAGAAAGCAGGGGAUCUUCGGACCUUGCGCUAUCAGAUGAGCCCAGGUCGGAUUAGCUAGUUGGUGGGGUAAAGGCUCACCAAGGCGACGAUCCGUAACUGGUCUGAGAGGAUGAUCAGUCACACUGGAACUGAGACACGGUCCAGACUCCUACGGGAGGCAGCAGUGGGGAAUAUUGGACAAUGGGCGAAAGCCUGAUCCAGCCAUGCCGCGUGUGUGAAGAAGGUCUUCGGAUUGUAAAGCACUUUAAGUUGGGAGGAAGGGCUGAUGCUUAAUACGUAUCAGUCUUGACGUUACCGACAGAAUAAGCACCGGCUAACUCUGUGCCAGCAGCCGCGGUAAUACAGAGGGUGCAAGCGUUAAUCGGAAUUACUGGGCGUAAAGCGCGCGUAGGUGGUUUGUUAAGUUGGAUGUGAAAUCCCCGGGCUCAACCUGGGA